UAAUCAAGAUCAACAUGGAAAUCAACAAGUCUAGUUGCAGGAGCAACUGCAACCGCAGGUGCAAGCAAAGCAAGUGCGAUGUUAGGCUGCACCCAUGAGUGCUAUAUUGCAGCCUUUGCCUACCAUUAGUCAAGACUAGCAUGAAAAUCAGCCGGUACAAUUGCAAGCGCAGACGCAAGUGCAAGCAAAGUGAGUGCGAUGUCGGGCUGGACCUAUGAGUACUAUAUUGCAGCCUUUGCCUACCAUUAGUCAAGACCAGCAAGGAAAUCAACCAUCACCAAACUAUCAUGAGUUCCAGUCACCAUUUGAUGAAGGUCACAUAAAUGAGAGAGUCAUGGAGAUAGAAUCACAUCAACAUUCUAUGAGCAGUCACACUACUCUAAACUUGCACUCGCUGGAAUAAAGCAAUGAAAGGUCAAAAACUUUAGUUGGAGCAGAUCCCAACUUGCAACAACAGAGAGCCAGAGGGAGAGGCUUUGCUCGUCCAUAUGUUGGGUGGGGUACAGGAACGAAAUUAGAAGUUAAAUUGAAUAAAGACGAUCAACCAAUAGGUAACACGGCAGGUCCCUUACAAAGUCAACUUGGCAUCUUAGCAAGAAACAUAACUUUGGUACCCUUAACUUUUACUGAUUGGAGGGCUCCAGAGCUAUAUCCAUACAAGGAAUGCCUAUGGGCAGAGGUUAAGGAAAAUACAACUGCACCAGAUGCUUAUAAGCAUAAUUGUCUGAUGUCCGUUGGAAAGAAAUGGAAACAUUGGAAAGAUGAGCUUAAAAGAAAUACUUAUAACUUAUAUGAUAAUGAUGAAGACCGUUUGGCGAAUUGUCCGAAUAAGGUUGACCCUAAUCAAUAGAGAGUUCUUGUUCAAUUUUGGGGCACUAAAAUAGCCAAGAGAUGAAGUAAAACCAACUGUAAAAGCAGACACGAAUAGAAAAUGGGACACACGAGUGGGAGGAAGGGCCAUUGUCGUGUAAGGGAUGAGUUGACACAGAUUAAGGAUGGAGUAGUAGUAGAACCUGAUCAUAUACAGGUAUUCAUUAAAACUCAUACAAAGAAAGAUGGACAGCCAGUUGAUGAAGCAUUAGCUUUGGCCAUAGUAUGUAUAUUUACUUGGUUCAUUUUUGUAUCUAUUUAGAUUCAUUUUAAUGGUAUGCUUCUUCUAUGUCUAUUUACAUAAUAAAAUAUUUGCUUUUGUUCUUUUACUUACUAUAGAUAGGUUUCAUUUAUUUCAGCGUCGUCUUAAUGAGGGAGCCUCUUA